rnacentral:rRNA from 1 species
GAUGAACGCUGGCGGUAUGCUUAACACAUGCAAGUCGAACGGACUCUUCGGAGUUAGUGGCGGACGGGUGAGUAACGCGUGAGAAUCUGGCUUUGGGUUCGGGACAACCACUGGAAACGGUGGCUAAUACCGGAUGUGCCGAGAGGUAAAAGAGAAAUUGCCUGAAGAUGAGCUCGCGUCUGAUUAGCUAGUUGGUGAGGUAAAGGCUCACCAAGGCAGCGAUCAGUAGCUGGUCUGAGAGGAUGACCAGCCACACUGGGACUGAGACACGGCCCAGACGACUACGGGAGGCAGCAGUGAAGAAUGUUCCACAAAGGGCGAAAGCCUGACGAAGCAAUACCGCGUGAGAGAAGAAGGCUCUUGGGAUGAAAACCUCUUUUCUUAGAGAAGAACAAGAUGACGGUACCUAAGGAAUCAGCAUCGGCUAACUCCGUG